GAUUAUUAUUCUUAAUUGUUUAAAAAUGUACAACCUUUUUUUUGCAGUUUAUGUUUAGUAUUAAUGCAGGUACAAUUAUUAAUUAUGAAAUUAAUUAAUUAUAUACAAUAAAAAAAGAGCUAAUACUGCUGACAUAUGCUACUGUUUAAGUGGAAAGUUGUGAAUGUAAGAUUCAUAGAGUUGUUUAAUUUAUAUUUAUACAUAAUGAUGAAUUAUUGAUAACCAAAAAUGAUUUCCAGAGAAAUUUGGUUAAAUUUGUUUUGAAAUG